rnacentral:rRNA from 1 species
UGCAAGUCGAACGGACCCUUUCGGGGGUCAGUGGCAGACGGGUGAGUAACACGUGGGAACGUGCCCUUCAGUUCGGAACACCCAGGGAAACUUGGGCUAAUACCGGAUACGCCCUUCGGGGGAAAGAUUCAUCGCUGAAGGAUCGGCCCGCGUCUGAUUAGCUAGUUGGUGAGGUAAUGGCCCACCAAGGCGACGAUCAGUAGCUGGUCUGAGAGGAUGAUCAGCCACACUGGGACUGAGACACGGCCCAGACUCCUACGGGAGGCAGCAGUGGGGAAUAUUGGACAAUGGGCGAAAGCCUGAUCCAGCCAUGCCGCGUGAGUGAUGAAGGCCCUAGGGUUGUAAAGCUCUUUCGGCGGGGACGAUAAUGACGGUACCCGCAGAAGAAGCCCCGGCUAACUUCGUGCCAGCAGCCGCGGUAAUACGAAGGGGGCUAGCGUUGCUCGGAAUCACUGGGCGUAAAGGGCGCGUAGGCGGAUCUUUAAGUCGGGGGUGAAAGCCUGAGGCUCCACCUCAGAAUUGCCUUCGAUACUGGAGAUCUUGAGACCGGAAGAGGUGAGUGGAACUGCGAGUGUAGAGGUGAAAUUCGUAGAUAUUCGCAAGAACACCAGUGGCGAAGGCGGCUCACUGGUCCGGUUCUG